rnacentral:rRNA from 1 species
UAAGACGAACCGUACGAACGUUAUUCGGAAUCACUGGGCUUAAAGGGUGCGUAGGCGGCGCUGAAAGUUGGGUGUGAAAUCCCUCGGCUUAACCGAGGAACUGCGCCCAAAACUACAGUGCUUGAGGGAGAUAGAGGUGAGCGGAACUUAGGGUGGAGCGGUGAAAUGCGUUGAUAUCCUAAGGAACGCCAGGGGCGAAAGCGGCUCACUGGGUCUCUUCUGACGCUGAGGCACGAAAGCUAGGGUAGCGAACGGG